rnacentral:rRNA from 1 species
ACUCCGUACGGGAGGCAGCAGGUAGGGAAUCUUCCACAAUGGGACGCAAGCCUGAUGGAGCAACACCGCGUGAGUGAAGAAGGUUUCGGCUCGUAAAGCUCUGUUGUUAAAGAAGAACACGUAUGAGAGUAACUGUUCAUACGUUGACGGUAUUUAACCAGAAAGUCACGGCUAACUACGUGCCAGCAGCCGCGGUAAUACGUAGGUGGCAAGCGUUAUCCGGAUUUAUUGGGCGUAAAGAGAGUGCAGGCGGUUUUCUAAGUCUGAUGUGAAAGCCUUCGGGCUUAACCGGAGAAGUGCAUCGGAAACUGGAUAACUUGAGUGCAGAAGAGGGGUAGUGGAACUCCAUGUGUAGCGGUGGAAUGCGUAGAUAUAUGGAAGAACACCAGUGGCGAACGGCGGCUACCUGGUCUGCAACUGACGCUGAGACUC